CUGAGUACCUAGGGUGAAGACCCAUUUGGUUUAUAGAGGUAAGAAGCCUGUGUAAGAUUGUAGAAGUUAUUUAUUAGCCUGUUCUGGGGCAUUGAAUUGCAGUACUGAACCCCAAGGUUAAACUGGAGUAGAUUAUUGUAUAAGAAUUGUACGUGGAAAGUCCAAAUCUAAUGUAUUUAUCAAGUCUAGAAAGAUAGAUGAGCUUUACAAGAUUGUAAAUACGUAUAACUUUGUGAUUCAUGAUAUUACUUGAGAAGCAGGACAGAUUGUGAUUGAUUAUAGUGGUAGGGCCUAAGCUGUAGAUCUCAAUUCUGCAUCGAAUACAGAUAAAAGUACAAAAAUAGUGGGAAUUAGAAUCAGAGAAGGUAAGAAAAAAAUCGGUUAUGGCUAUUUUAUUCCACUAAUUUUUUGCCUUGGUUCACGAGAUGAAGGGAGAAGUGGGGUGCCUGCAAGUAUAUAUAGAGAUUGCAGUAGAACAGAUGGAGAAGCAAGCUUGAGUCAGUGCAUUAGAUGGAUUGCAUUUCAGGCACUACACUGUAAUGAACAAGAGGAGCACAUGAAUGGAGCACUCAGCAGCCAGAAGUGACAGUAAGAAGAGAGCAAUAUUUUACUAUAGAGUUUUUUUUGGGUUGAUUGAAGGAUUUGAAUGCCUAUUGUUUUGUUUGUGCCAGCAGCAGUUUCAGUAUGUACAUGCAUUUUAUUACGGCUCUUCCUAGAUCCAACCCUAUAUGUUGUACAAAUUCUUCUCAGUUGGGAAUCAUCACAUUUUGUGCGGAUAUGCGUAUAUCUUUGAUUUGAAAGCAGAUGUUGCUAGUCAUGUUACACUAUAUUACGGCGGCUCUAUGGUACUCUUUACAGCAGACUGGUAAAAAAAGUAAUUUGUUGGGUGAAAGUUUUCUCUGGGUAAAUUGUACAGAGCCGUUAUCAUAAUAAAAUGAUUCUUGUAACCUAUACCUUAUCAAUUCUAGAGCAUUGAAGUUUUAAAUUAAUAAAAAUUUAUGAGCCACUUGAUAUAGAGGUAUAGUUGCAGUUUAUUUAAUACAAUGAUUGAUCGGCCAUUUAAUGAUAUGUC